AUUUAUCAGCUGAGCGUGAAAGCUACAACACAUCAAUUCAAGAACAAGAAAUGAGACAAUUACUCAACUGAAUUGGAUUUAUCCACUGUUUGGUAACUGAGAAUAGUGAGGAAAAAGAAAGAAAAUAAACAAAAUUUCGAAACCCGUUUUCUAUAAUGUCAGAAUCCUUAAAGAAGUGAAAGAUUUAUCUAUAAUUAAGACUACCAUCUCUAUCAGUUUCUCUAUCUCUUCGAAAAAUUCCCUCUACUUUCCCACAUUUUCUCAGUGAUCAAACAAUGUAAAAGAAAAGAGAAAACAACGAAGUUGAGAAUAGAAACCUUUGAAGUUGGAGUUAUUCUAA
rnacentral:misc_RNA from 1 species